GUGUCUUUUCUUUUUUUUCUUUGAGAGGGUCUUUCUGUCCCUGUCCGAGCAAAAGACGAGGGAAAACUAUCCCAUCCUAUUUCUUGCCACAGGCUAAAAUGCUAGGAGUAGAUUAGAUAGAUGCAUGCAUGUUUUUAAAAUGAUCAAACACAAGCCCUAGCUAUAAGGUAGAGAAGCAUUGCAAUAUUCCAGUAUCUGAACCACCCUACACACGAGAUCUAUCUUCAGUUUAUAGAAUUGGGGGAGGAUAACAUUCUGUCCACUGCUGCAG
rnacentral:lncRNA from 1 species